rnacentral:lncRNA from 1 species
GUUCAGGAGUUAUGGUUCUUGAAAGAUUGAAAAAUGGAGUUUUCAGUCGUGUCCGUGCAUUUACUCAUGAACUGUUCUACCAAAGCUUCCCAAAUUUUAAUAUGUUGUUACUGAUGACAGAAUGGAGGUCAAGUUCAAUAAUGACGAUUUUGACUUUUACCGUUCAGGAGUUAUGGUUCUUGAAAGAUUGAAAAAUGGAGUUUCCAGUCGUGUCCGUGCAUUUAUGCAUGAACUGUUCUACCAAAGCUUCCGAAAUUUUUAAUAUGCUGUUACUGAUGACAAAAUGGAGGUCAAGUUCAAUAAUGACGAUUUUGACUUUUACCGUUCAGGAGUUAUGGUUCUUGAAAGAUUGAAAAAUGGUGUUUCCCGUCGUGUCCGUGC